rnacentral:lncRNA from 1 species
ACCUGGGCCAGCAAUAAUGAGAUGAAAAUCUGGCUGAAGAUAAUUCCAGAUAUGCUCUCCAUAGUCAACAGUGUAAUACCCUACAGCUAAUUUUCCUGGGCUCACUGUGGGCGCCGAAGAAGCCGAACCUCAUGGCCUCCUGUGAUCUUUGUCCUGGGGCUCCUCCAGGACCUGCUUGGCUGGCCAGGCCUAGGAUAGCUUAUGUUGAUGAAAUGCUCCAGAAGUGAAGUCCCAAACCUAUCUUCACACUGCCACACUGGCUUCAUGACAUCCAACUGGAGUAACACGGAGGACUCGGCAGAAGAGUAGGAUGAUAUGAUGGAAGGGAAAACUACAGAUUCAGGACUUUGGAAUUCUGGGUGAUUGGGCAAGCCACCUCCCUUCUCUGAGCCUUAGUUUGUCUUUAACUAUACCAUAAGGGAG